rnacentral:rRNA from 1 species
CCUACGGGCGGCAGCAGUGAGGAAUAUUGGUCAAUGGACGCGAGUCUGAACCAGCCAAGUAGCGUGAAGGAUGACUGCCCUACGGGUUGUAAACUUCUUUUAUAUGGGAAUAAAAUGUUCCACGUGUGGGUUUUUGUAUGUACCAUAUGAAUAAGGAUCGGCUAACUCCGUGCCAGCAGCCGCGGUAAUACGUAGGGGCCAAGCGUUGUCCGGAUUGAUUGGGGUUAAAGGGUGGGUAGACGGGUUGGCAAGUCAGAUGUGAAAGCCUGCGGCUUAACCGUAAUUCUGCAAUUAAUACUGGCAGACUUGAGUACAGUUGAGGUAGGCGGAAUUCGUGGUGUAGCGGUGAAAUGCGUAGAUAUCACGAAGAACUUCGAUUGCGAAGGCAGCUUUCUAGACUGUAACUGACAUUGAGGCUCGAAAGUGUGGGUAUCAAACAGGAUUAGAUACCCGUGUAGUC